GAUGAACGCUGGCGGCGUGCCUAAUACAUGCAAGUCGAGCGAACGGACGAGAAGCUUGCUUCUCUGAUGUUAGCGGCGGACGGGUGAGUAGCACGUGGAUAACCUACCUAUAAGACUGGGAUAACUUCGGGAAACCGUAGCUAAUACCGGAUAAUAUUUUGAACCGCAUGGUUCAAAAGUGAAAGACGGUCUUGCUGUCACUUAUAGAUGGAUCCGCGCUGCAUUAGCUAGUUGGUAAGGUAACGGCUUACCAAGGCAACGAUGCAUAGCCGACCUGAGAGGGUGAUCGGCCACACUGGAACUGAGACACGGUCCAGACUCCUACGGGAGGCAGCAGUAGGGAAUCUUCCGCAAAGGGCGAAAGCCUGACGGAGCAACGCCGCGUGAGUGAUGAAGGUCUUCGGAUCGUAAAACUCUGUUAUUAGGGAAGAUCAUAUGUGUAAGUAACUGUGCACAUCUUGACGGUACCUAAUCAGAAAGCCACGGCUAACUACGUG
rnacentral:rRNA from 1 species